rnacentral:lncRNA from 1 species
UUCUAAAAUGGCAGCCGCACUGCUGGCAGUGGCGUUCCACAGAGGAGGAGGAGGGGGCUGCAGGACAGGGCACAGGAUGCGAGGGAAUCCCCUUCUCAGGCUGGGACACGCAGCACACAGCCGCUCACUGAGUGCUCUCCUCAGCUCAGCGCCAAGAGCAGCAGGCUCCAAAGUGCACCUGACUACGCCUGCCUCCUGCGAGACAGAAGCCCUGCUUGCCAUGUGAGCAUCCAGCGCCUCUUCUUGCACGUCACCUCUGGGCAUUCAGCCCUCACCUACAAUCAAUACGUUCAAUCCAACUGCAGUUGGAUUCAAACCACUCGCAUUAAAUUCAAAACCCGCGCGUAAUGCUGCAACGCACACGGGGCCACACUGCCUCACCCGUCCUCCGUGGGGACCCACAGGCUUAGAACUGCAUCAACAGAGCAGGCAGAAACGUGACGUGCUCCUGACUGCCGGCACUUUUCACGUCUCCCUCUCCUUCCCCCCCAGUCUACCAACGCAGCCCUUCCCACACAACAAACACAAUCACCCAAAACCUCAGCCCUGACUCGGCCCACUCCGGGACAUCCAGACGAAGUACAUAUUGACAAACCUUCAUCCACGGCCACACCCUCGGUCCAACACAGCACCCAGGCUGCUCGCUCCAUUCCUCACCUGGCCUUUGCUUGCCACGAACCCCCUCAUUCAGAC